GGUGAUCUGUGCAUCAUCAGUUACCAUGGUGAUUUAGCUGUGCUGCAUCAGUUACCAUGGUGAUUUAGCUGUGGUGCAUCAGUUACCAUGGUGAUCUAGCUGUGCAGCAUCAGUUACCAUGGUGAUCUAGCUGCGCAGCAUCAGUUACCACGGUGAUCUGUGCAGCAUCAGUUACCAUGGUGACCUCUGUGGUGUAUCAGUUACCAUGGUGAUCUAGCUGUGCAGCAUCAGUUACCAUGGUGAUCUGACGGGUUAAAACAGAGUUUUAAUCUCCACAUACUUCGCUAACGUGUUCAUCUUGCUUCGUAGUUCACCCUCAUGUGAAGAAAGGCCCAAACAGUAAAAUAGUGUACCAGCCUCCAUUCCUCUCGACUUCCUUCUGUGUUUUAGGAUUUAUACUUCUCCUUUAAGAAGUUGCCUGUAAACUCCUCGACUUAUGUGAAGCGACACAGUAUAACUUUGGGAAUGUAUCGUCCUGCAGUGAAAUAAUUCUCAUGGCAACUCUUGUUUUAAACCAAAAGAUGAACCGACCAUCCGAAGUUAGCCAUCACUUUAAAGCCCUAUUGGCUGAUAUCGAUCUCCAGUACAAACCUUUAGAUAAAUCAACAUUUCACUCGUCAUUAUUCCUGCAGAAGUCAGCGCUCUUAAACGUCUGUGUCCUGAAAACGUCUGACGUUCCAUUUCCUGUCUCAGCCUGUACAUACUGUGUGAGUGUACUUAGCCGGAUGAGUUGGAAACUUGUCUUUCUUAAACAAAUGGGGGAAAAAAAAUGUAUUGAAGAACAGUUUUGUAUUCUUGCUACUUUUUACCAUGUGAAACAUUUUGACAAAAUGCUCUUUUUUUGGGUUGUUUUUUAAUGUAGUCCACGUAGUGACUGUGCCAGUAUGUUGCGGGGAAUCUCAAAGAGAAACCUGCGCGUGAGUCUGAAUGCGUGAAUGUAAAAAAAGUAACGGUAUUUCUGUCAAACAGGGAAAUUCAGACUGAAGAGAAUUGUAGUAGAACAUGUUUCAACAGACCUGCGCCUUUCUCUCUGUGUGUGUUUUUUUUUAAUUGACUAACCUUACUGGUCUGUCUGAGAGCUGUUUCUGCAGGUUUUCCGUGUUCAGUAUUUUUGAAAUGGUUCUGUUUUCUCCUGUUACAUGUCGAGAUGUUGUGUCUGUCGGGUUCGAGUGAAUGACGCCUUCCUCCUCUCUGAAUGCUACGAGAUUCUAGUCGCGCUUAAGAAGCCUGGAGUUGGUUUACAUGAAACGCCAUCACUCCUUUCUUUAAAAUUUUACUUUGUUUGUCUUCGUCUGGGGAGCCUUUUCCCUCCUCUCUCGCCUCCCUGUUUUUCACAAGGUUUGAGUGCAGUAUUGAAAAGUAUUUAAUACAAACUGAGGAGUAAUAUUUGUUUAUGUUCUGUUUGUUUUUGCCUUAAACUCUCUGCCUCCUCUUUCAGCUUUUGAGGUCAGACGGUCGUCGCCUGUUACAGCCGUCGUUUCUUAUUUUAUGAAUUUGGCAUUCAAAAGAGAACAAGUUGAAGUGUUUUUUUAACGGUUUCACUUUUCUUUCCGUUAUUUUAAAUCCUUUAAAUUGAUAUGAAACCUGUAUUCCUGGAGGGAGAGACCAGGGCCUUGGGGUGUGUGUUCAACUUUUAAAAGGCCAAAUCAUAGAAAAGUAAAUAUAUCAGGAACCGGUGAGGGCGGGUUCGUAGUUUGCCAAGAAUCGCGAGUGCAGAAGGACUUGUUAAUUGGUGCUGACACAUCAUCAAGAUGUGUACAAUAAAAAUAGAUGCUCCAGGUUGCAGAUAAGGACCUCACAUACGUCUAGUAAUAAUAAUGAUAAUAAUAAUAAUAAUGAGAGUGUAUGUUAAAAGCCAAAGAAUAACUGAACUCCAGCCCAGCAGCACUCAUACAGUUGUUGGCGGUGCAUCUGUCCUGUGUUAUAUUGUUUAAAAUAAUCCAUAUCUGGGGCAGUAAGGAGAGGAGAAGCUCCUUUUAUAAGCACAAAUGAUUAAAUCCACUCUCCUGCAGUUUCACCGGUGGUUUAGAAGUCGGUCAAUCCGCCCGUUUCCUCCUCAGUUUCCGUUAAAAACCCCGUCAGACCCUGGUGUCUCUCGCUCUCUGCAUGCUCGCUGUGUUAGUUCCUGUGUUUCUGUCCCUGGGAACCGGUGCUGGACCCCUCCAUCCUCCCCGACCUCCUCCUCCUCGCAGCACUGUUCCCUCCUAUAGCUUUUUUCAAAUUGUACUGUAGUUUAUGUGAAUGAUGUUGAAAAACAAAACUCUGAAAAGAAAAAAACUUUGUGGCGACGUACAGUACGUGUACAUUCAUGCUAAGAUUAUCUGUAUGUAUGUAGCAUUCGAUUACACACAGCACUAACAAAUAAAACUUUUUUCAUUUAUACAUUUA
ensembl:lncRNA